rnacentral:lncRNA from 10 species
CUUAUUUAAAAUAUUUUCAAUUCCUUCCUCCCAUCCAUUGUGACAUUUGUUCUGCUUAUCAAUAUGCUCUAAUCACUCAGUACGUUAUUACUACUAUUGCUUUAACCAAAAAGUUAUCUUUUAGAUCAACCAAUUCUCUGAUGCUCCUCCUUUGUAGAUCCAAGUUUUUGACCUAUAUCCUUUUCCUUCUGCAUGAAGAACUUUUAAUAUUUCUUGCAGAACAAGUCUGCUAGUGAGAAAUUCCCUCAGACUGUUUGUCCGAGAAAGUCUAUUUCUCCUUCACUUUUGAAGGAUAAUUUCUCUGGAUUUAGAAUUCUAAGUUGGCAGUUAUCUUUUUUCAAUGAUUCAAAGAUUUCACCCCACUUGACUUUUGCAUGGUUUCUGACAAGAAUUCUGCUAUAAUUCUUACCCUUGUUUCCAGUGGCAACAAAAACUUUGGCCCCAGCAGUUUCUCACUCUCCAGCUACUCCACUGGCAACUUCCAACAAUUUGUCAAAGUGACCACUUGCAUGCUCUUGCCAGUCUAUGGCUCCAGUUGCUUCUGUUCCAGGAAGAAGCAAAGAAGUCUAAGUUCUUUGGAGUAAGAUGCUCUCAAAUGCCUAGGAACACUGAUCUCCUAACUUGUCUUCCUGCUUUGAGUGUCCCUCUGAGGUUAAAGUUCCUGCCUCAGUCUCCAACAAUGGUAAGUACAAAAUCAAUGUUAGUUCCUGACCGCUCCCCCUCUCUGUGUAUUGGUCAAUCACUGUCUGAUCAUACUGUACUGAAAUUAAUUCUUGGAAUGUCUGUCUUCCCCUAGACUAUAAGCCUCUCUGGGCAAGAUCCACGUCUUACUCAUUUUUGUGUCUGCAGUUUAGUUCCUGGUUCAUUGUAGGUUCUCAAUAAACGUUUGUUAGAAUGAGUUGAUCUCUUGGAUCCAGUGCCCCAGAAAGAUAUGUAAGUACUAUUUUUAUCCUUUCCCAUUGUGUGUCCACCUUCUCUCCAAUCCUAGAUCACCAAAAGUGAAGCAGAAGUGAUGAGAGUAGCAAUUUGUAGUAUCAAAACGACUUCUUAUAGUGCACAGAAAGCCCAGCACUGUCUCGUAUGGGAGACUCGUGGUUCUGCCACUGUCUUGCUGGGUGACCUGAGAUAACUUCUUUUCUCUCUGGGUCUGAUUCCUCACAGGUCAUUUCCACUGCUGCCCACUGAGGAGUGCCACUGGAGAUGAUCUCACAACAAAGAGAGGGGGAGAGGUCAGGAACUAACAUCUAUUUUGUAGUUACCACUGUGGUAUGGUUUGCAACAUGGCUCUGUAACCCUCAGGAUCCCUACCAGAUAUUUUCAUCUAUUCCCUUAUUCUCCUCAGGUCCCUGGCCCUCCCCUUUCCUCUGUGCUCUCAGCAGCUGACCUUGUCUUUUCCUUUACUGAGAGUAGAGGCACCUCUUACAAAUACUCUGGCCUCUGCCUGGACUGACUGGGCUAAAUUGUCUCCGAAGAUGGCCACCAACCAUUCCUCCCACCUGUCUGCAUGCAGGCUGCUCCUCCCGUCAGAAGAUGGAGACUGCUUCCUUGCCCUUCAAUCCAAGCUGGCUCAUGACUUGCUUCAAUGAAUAGGAAAUGGCAGAAGUGAUGCUCUGAGGCUUCUGGGCCUAGACUUUAAGAGGUGUUGCCCCUUUCCUUUUUCCCUCUUGGGAUCCAGCCUACCACAUAGAGAAGUUUGGGUUGACAACUAAAUGUGAGAGAGAGACAGACAGAGAGAAGAGGGAGAGCUGAUUCAGCUAGACCUUAGUCAUUCCAGCCAUCCUAGCUGAAGCACUAGCAUGUGAAAGAAGCCACCUUCUAACCUAUCAAUCAGAGCCCCCAAUUUUACUGACCUCAGUCAACACCAUGUGGAACAGAACUACCCCAGGGAGCCCAACCAACCCAUACAAUCAUGAGAAAUUAAAAACUGAUGUUGUAGCCUCCUGAGUUUUAAGGUAGUUUGUUACACAAAAAUACUGGAAUUUUGACCCACCUUCACCUCCAAUGCCAACCUAGUAAACCUGGAUAUAUCUUUCAAAAUUUGGCUCAAGUGUCAACUCUUUCAUGAACCCUCUGUAUCCUUUUCUUGCUCAUUCAAGCCCUAUUUUCUCUUCUCCUCCCCAAAAUUCCAUAGUACUUUGUAUUACAAACUAUGUGCUUACAACCCCCAAAGUCUCUGGGCAUCCAGAAGGCAGAGAUUUGGCUUAAUUCAUUUUUGCCUCUGCCUAGCCUAACACCCGGCACAUUUAGAUAUUUAGUUAUUGUUUGCUGAAUGAAUGGAUGCAUGAAGAAGAAAAUUUAACAGAUGAUAUCUACAGGCACAUCUGGCUCCAAAAUUGAAUCAUGUCAUCUAGCAAUGCUCAGUAAAGUUAACAUAAGCAAUUUC